UGUUCAUGAUGACAUAUGUAUUUGCUAUCUGAGUACUGAAGACACCUUUUACCACCAAGAUCUCUGAAACA